rnacentral:tRNA from 1 species
GGCAUAAUGGCUGAUAAAAGCACAACAUUGUAAGUGUUGAAAUGAGUGAACUCUUAUGUCA